CCGCGGAGGUCACCGCCGGCACCUCCAGCAUGGAGCAGGUGGACUGAGCCGGUGCGGCAGCGCGGCGCACUGGGGGCCCUGCCGAGCGCGCUGCUGUCUGCGUUGCUCGACGUGAGCGCAUUUCGCGUGCGGUGCUGCAUCCUGGCGUGCGGCUGAGCGAGGACUGAAGGAGAGCGAAUUAGGGCUCGGCGUGGAGGAGGAGGUGUCAAGUAGCCCCGUUGCGAAGAGCGUACCAGCCCCAAUCGCCGUACGUCUCGCUGGUGCUCCCCUUCCCCCGCCACUUGACACUCACUACUACCCCCCCCUUCCCUUCUCCCCCCCCCUGCCCGCUCUCUCUCUCUCUCUCGCACCCUCUACUGUCUCACUGUCACGCCGGGCGGCGUAUUGGCGCCCCGUUUCUUUCGUUGUUUGCCCCACGCGGCGCGGCCGUUUUUGCCGUCCCUCUCUCUCUUUUUAACGA
rfam:Leishmania braziliensis MHOM/BR/75/M2904 complete genome, chromosome 33